rnacentral:rRNA from 1 species
UGGGCAACCUGCCCCUCUCUCUGGGAUAACCCCGGGAAACCGGAGCUAAUACCGGAUACUCCGGCUGGAUCGCAUGGUCCGGCCGGGAAAGGUCCGCCGGAGAGGGACGGGCCCGCGGCCUAUCAGCUUGUUGGUGGGGUAACGGCUCACCAAGGCGACGACGGGUAGCUGGUCUGAGAGGAUGGCCAGCCACAUUGGGACUGAGACACGGCCAGACUCCUACGGGAGCA